rnacentral:rRNA from 1 species
GACGUAGGGGGCGAGCGUUGUCCGGAUUCAUUGGGCGUAAAGCGCGCGUAGGCGGUUCGGAAAGUCGGAUGUGAAAACUCGGGGCUUAACCCCGGGCCUGCAGUGGGUACGGGCAGACUAGAGUGCGGUAGGGGAGACUGGAAUUCCGUGGUGUAGCGGUGAAAUGCGCAGAUAUCAGGAGGAACACCGGUGGCGAAGGCGGGUCUCUGGGCCGUAACUGACGCUGGAGGAGCGGAAAGCAUGGGGAGCGAACAGG